GUAAAGCACUUUCAGUCGUGAGGAAGGUAGUGUAGUUAAUAGCUGCAUAUUUGACGUUAGCGACAGAAGAAAGCACCGGCUAACUCCGUGCCAGCAGCCGCGGUAAUACGGAGGGUGCGAGCGUUAAUCGGAAUUACUGGGCGUAAAGACGCAUGCAGGUGGUUUGUUAAGUCAGAUGUGAAAGACCCGGGGCGUCAACCUCGGAAUUGCAUUUGUAAACUAGGCAGACUAGAGUACUGUAGAGGGGGGUAGGAAGUUUCUAGGUGUAGCGGUGAAAUAGCGUAGAGAUCUGAAGGAAUACCGGUGGCGAAGGCGGCCCCCUCGGACAGAUACUGACACUCAGAUGCGAAAGCGUGGGGAGCAAACAGGAUUAGAUACCCUGGUAG
rnacentral:rRNA from 1 species